rnacentral:rRNA from 1 species
GACGAACGCUGGCGGCGUGCUUAACACAUGCAAGUCGAACGGAAAGGCCCUGCUUUUGUGGGGUGCUCGAGUGGCGAACGGGUGAGUAACACGUGAGUAACCUGCCCUUGACUUUGGGAUAACUUCAGGAAACUGGGGCUAAUACCGGAUAGGAGCUCCUGCUGCAUGGUGGGGGUUGGAAAGUUUCGGCGGUUGGGGGUGGACUCGCGGCUUAUCAGCUUGUUGGUGGGGUAGUGGCUUACCAAGGCUUUGACGGGUAGCCGGCCUGAGAGGGUGACCGGCCGCAUUGGGACUGAGAUACGGCCCAGACUCCUACGGGAGGCAGCAGUGGGGAAUAUUGCACAAUGGGCGGAAGCCUGAUGCAGCAACGCCGCGUGCGGGAUGACGGCCUUCGGGUUGUAAACCGCUUUCGCCUGUGACGAAGCGUGAGUGACGGUAAUGGGUAAAGAAGCACCGGCUAACUACGUG